rnacentral:rRNA from 1 species
UACAGAGGGUGCAAGCGUUGUUCGGAAUUACUGGGCGUAAAGCGUGCGCAGGCGGUUAUGUAAGACAGGUGUGAAAUCCCCGGGCUUAACCUGGGAACUGCAUUUGUGACUGCAUAGCUAGAGUACGGUAGAGGGGGAUGGAAUUCCGCGUGUAGCAGUGAAAUGCGUAGAUAUCAGGAGGAACACCGGUGGCGAAGGCGCUCAUCUGGCCCAAUACUGACGCUGAAGCUCGAAAGCUAGGGGAGCAAACGGG